UCCGUUAACAAAGUUAAAAUAAAAUAUUGCAAACAACAACAUGGACAAUCGAAAAAAAAGAAGCAAGCAUGCCCAAAAGAAAAAAACACAUAAAUAAUAAUAGAAUCAAUUAUAAUAGUAAUCGCAACAAAACCAGUAUCCUUACAAAAAACUAAUCGGAAAAAUAAAUAAAUAAUAAUAUAAUCGGACAAAAAACAUGCAAGUUGAAGAAUUUGAUAGAGAAAAGAAAAACCUGACAUGGAAUAUGCCCGCAGACAAGAGUUUGAAUGAGAAUGAUAAAAUUUCAAGGGUUUGCGUGAGAUUGUUGGAUGUGAGUAGUAUUUAUAUUUGAGAAAUGUUAACGAGUGUCUUCCAAGCACUCUUUAAAACCUUUAAAAAGUACUCCAUCCGAUCACAUUUAUAAGAAAAAAAACUAUAACAUAUUUGAUAUAUAAAUUCUGGUUUGAUAUAUAAUGCUGGUUUGAUCAACUGUAUAAAAUUAUGGUUUGAUCAUGUAUAUAUACUCUAGUUUGAUCAUGUCUAUAAAAAAUUAAGGAUAAUUGAUUUUGGUAUACACACAGUCUAGGACUUAAAAUGAAGUUCUUUUUUUGACAAGAGGACUUAAAAUGAAGUUGGUGUUUAAUGGAUGCUUGGUUUUGAACAAAAGAGAGAAUUAUAUGACAUUCAGGGGUUUGAAAUUUAGGGAUUUAAUGAUUUGAGAUUCAAUUUAGGGAUAUUGAUUUUGGGUUCAGGGACCAAAGUGACCAUUUUUUACUUUCACUUUAGUCUCUGUGACACCUCAUAUGUCAUAUCACUGUGUCACAUCAUCACUUAACAGAAUAACUUAACGUCAUGGACUAAAGUGAUAACGGAAAUGCAGAGUCAGAGACUUAUUUGUAUUUAAUCCUGAGUCAGGGACCUAUGUGACAGUGAGCUGCAGAAUCAAGGACUAAAGCGACUAUUUGCUCUUCUUUUUAUGGAAUGCUUAAAGAGUGUCCCGGGACACUCAUUAAUAAGACCCUUUGUAUUUUUAACUAAAAAGACUCAUAAAAUCCACCUCACCCAAGAAUCCAUCAAAAUCUAUAGACUUUUGAAUACCAAAAGACAUUUUAUAAGUCAUGAUGAUGAAGAGCAUAAAUCAUAUAUGUAGAAUUGUGAUAAAAAAAAUAAAUAAAUACAAUUUGUGUGUUGUGAGAGCUUUGUCUCCUUUUUGGUUCUGGAUUGAACCAAGUUUAUCGAAUCUUAUUAAUGACUUCCUUAUCUUUGUGGAUAUUCUUUAUGGCUUAGUAUUCCUGCUUGGAUUGGAAGUGAGUGUGACACCUUCUUUACCAUUCCUUUCCCUAAAUCCACCUUUUUAUUUUGACCUUCAUCACAUGAGAAAUCUCAGUUGAAUACCAACAUAUUUCGCUGCCUUAAAAAAAAGUCAUGAUUGUCUUGAUUGAAUACCUCAAGAUUUGUUUAUAUUUUUAAAAUUCGUGAUUGAAUAUCACUAGACUUUUUUAUUAUAAAAAGUCUUUUAAAAUCCUCUUGAAUUCUCAAUUCAAUACACCCCUCGUAAUUUUUUUAUUUUGAAAGAGUAAUGUAAUUUUUUUUAAGCAACUUUAAGGUUGUCCCUGGCAACGGUGCCAAAAACUUGAUACGCCGCAAGUGCACGGCUAUAUCGGUUUCUCACAUAGACCAAUCACAAGUACCUCUAUAAUUAAUUUGGUUUCGCGCGUAAAUAUAAAAUAACGAUUUUAAUUUGAUAAUAACAACGAGAGGCCAAAACGACAGUUUCUAUCAACCUAAGUCACUCACAUAAAUUUCACUAUUUAAUUAUGAUGAGAACAAAAUUUCUUUGUAGAAAAUUAUUAAAUUCGAGACAUCGUCUUGCUUUUGCAAACCGUUAUCAGAUUCUAGCGCGUAAUUUCCUACUUUUGUAGUGUUUAAUUACACGGUGAAAAUUGCUUUUUAAAUUUCAAUAAGUUCUUGAUUAAUUAAAAUAAGUGCUUUCACCACUUUUUUUAUUUAGUAACUUGAGUUUUCUAAGGGUGUGUUUGCAAAGAGGGUUAAGGAGGGGAAAGGAGGGGAGGGUUUACUUUUCUUUUUUAAUUCACUGGCAUUAUAAAAUGAUAAAAAUGAAUUAAUAACAUGAUAAAUGAUCAUAUAUGUCGCGUCAUUUUUCGGAGAUCAAGGCUAUUUGAUUAGCUUUUGACUCACUAAUUUCUUUCACGACUGAACAUUUAAUUUUUAAGGAAAAGGGGAAAAAAGUUCAAAACACCCCAUAUUGAAAAGAUUUAGGGUUCGGGGGUUAGUUACAUAAAGGGAAGGUGUUAGCACCCUUUAUGUCCGUAGUACUCUACGGGAACCUCUUGAUUUUAUUUAAUUAAUGUGCUAUAACUUGCUUGCUUAUUUUUGAAAAGAAGUUAAUGUGAUGAUUAAAAGAAAAAGAAAGUGAGACCUAAUUUAUCUACAUUUUUUAUUGUUUGAAAGGACAUGGUCCUCUGCCUACGUACCCGUGAAGGAUCAAAACCUCGUAGUUCGGGGUAGAAAUCGACGUUUGAUUUGUUGAGUGUUUUUUAUUAGUUUUGAAAAAGGUUUUAAAAGGAAAAAGCCAAAUGGCAAAAUAAAUUUGUUUGUGUUUUUUAUUUAAGUGAAAAUUAACUCGAAGUAGAAUUAAAUUGAUUGAUGUUUGAUUAAGAAAAGAAAAUAAAAAUGCGGUCACUUGAUUUGGAUCAAGGUUUAUUAUGAAAAAUGUUUUUGUGAUUUUUUGGUUAUUUGCAUGUUUUUGUGAUUUUUGAAUAAAUGAACUAGUAUAUAAACUAACGGAGCAUAAAAAUAAAACGUAGGUACUCUAUGGUGGUGUUGGACCACCACAGAGACCUUUAACCUAAACUACAAAGCAGAUAAGAGGCAUACACACCCGCACACACACAUGCACCUACGACUAUUACACAAAAGCCUAUUUACAUUCUAAGGUCUCUUGAAAAAUAAAUAUGCAUGGUUUACAUUAAGCCUAAAUAUACAUUCUAAUAUGUGCAAUAGAGAUAAAUGACAUAAAGUAAAUAUACACAAAUGAAUCAAUGAUAAAUAUGCAACCUAAUCUAAUACACAUAAAAUCAAUAAAGGGCAGAGGAAAUAAAAAAAAUGCAAGAGAAAUUAAAAUGCAUGAAAAAAGAAACUUAGAAAAGAAAUGUAAGAGGUCAGCAGUUCUCUUUACAACAGAAUCUCUUUUAAUUUGAAGAGCAGCCACGACCUUCUUGCAAUUGGAAUGGAAUAGAACAGCACGACAAACACCUGCAAUUUUCUGGAAAACUUUAUUUGAGUAAGUCCACUGCUACAAUUGAAAGUUAUACCAAUAUAAUAUUGAAACAUAACAGCCAUGGCGAUAGAAAAUUGAUGAUUGGAAUUGGAUUACAACAGCACUGUUAUGAAGCAACAACGAUGAUAAAAACAGCAGCAAUAAUGAACACGGCAGCAACAAAUUUGGAAUUUAAUUAUGCAGCAAUAGUAGAAAAAGGUAUGGAAUAGCAGGUGCAGCCAAUAACAAAGAUGAAACUCAAAGAAACCAAUAUGAAACUUUAAAGAAAAUAAUUAAAUAGGGUAUUGAAUUAACACGGUAGCAUGAAUUGAAACCGAACAAUAAUAGUGCUAGUGAUGAAAUGUUGAUAGUAAUCGAAAUUAAAUAGGAGAAUCACAGCUAAAUGGAAAUUUAAAGGCAUGACAGUAUUAUAUUUUAAUAAAUGGGAUUGCAGCAUUCACAAAGGUUCAUGGCACAAGUAAGGCAAAUUGAAAUAACAAGUAGUUAGCCAUGCAUCAAUAUGAAGAUAAUGGAAUUGCAACAAUAGCGUGAAAGCAAAAACGAAAUACUGUAAUUGAAUUUGAAUGGGUAGUAAAAAUAAUGAAACGGCGAUUGGAAUGGUUUUUGAAAAGAAAAAAAAAAAAAAUAUUGCGGUGGCUAGGUUUUUCGGAAUUGUUGUGAGUGAAAAAUUGUGUUAUUAGGUCAAAUUGUGUGUGUCAAUUGUGUUGUUGCAGGUUGCUUUUAUAGAAAGGGGAUCAGCACUAGGGUUUGUUGAAAGUCUGCUGAAAAUUUGUGGCUUGGGGAGGAGAAUAAGCACUGUUAUUGCUGGAUUGAUAAGGCUGGGAAUUGGAUUGGGAUGGAGAAAGAAAGAAAACGUGUACUGUGUUGUUUUUGGAUGAGG
rnacentral:lncRNA from 1 species